ACGCACCUUGCGCUCCUUGGUAUUCCGUGGAGCAUGCCUGUUUGAGUGUCGUUAAAUCAUUAAUCCCACUUGUUGCUUCAUUGCAUGAGUGUAGGCAUUGGACUUAGGGACUUGCUCUCGGCUUGUUGGCUUCCCUCAAAUGCAUUAGCUGGAAUUUGCUUGCGCAUAUAUGCGGUGUGAUAAUAUCUUCACCGUGUCGUGCUCCUGAACCUUUGGCUUCUAACCGUCCUUCAGUUGGACCUCUCUUUGACAAUCUGACCUCAAAGCAGGUAGGACUACCCGCUGAACUUAA
rnacentral:misc_RNA from 1 species